AAACCAUCAGAGUAUGAUAUCGAUGAGAAUACAUAAAAUGUUUACAUAAUAUUAUUAGCUUGAAUUAUUGUUUUCUUACAAUUAAUGGAAAGACUGUGUACUACUGCAGAUGAAUCAACAACAGCAACUGAAAUAUUUUACAUAAACAUAUACAUAGUAUUUUAGGUACCUAUUCGAUUUAUUGUUGAAAUACUACAAAAAGUAAUUGUUUCCAUUAUAAAACAAAACGCUCCUCUCCACGCGAUGAAAAAUGUAAUCAUAUUUAAUAUGUUUGAA